GGGGGAAGAGGCCAUACAUUUGGGCUUUCGUGCAUGUCAUGGUGGGGCUAAGUUGGAAACGUGGUAUGAGGGAAGAUUUCCUAGAGAGACCGACAGUGCCCAGGAUCCUGUGCCGGCAAUGGUUGCCACUUUCUGGCUGUGUGAUCAUGGGCAUAGCUGAGAAUAUAAAAAGUGUGAAUAAAUGAACACGGUGUUGGAGAGAAGAGAAACAUUAUGUGCUAUUCCAUCGGCAACGGGAGGAUUCUUUGGAGCCAGUGUUGCCUUGGUGGGUGUGAGGUUCUAAUCUGCAACCUUGGGAAAUCUGAGUUUUCUCUCUUCCAGGGGUGUAACGACUGAGUAUUGAUACGUAAGAGAAAAGGAGACGACAGCUACCUACAGAGAAGCACUCUCAGCAAGGCCUGUGGGCCACCCACGAAACACAGACCCACCACUUCUGGCUCCGUGACCAUCACCCCGCUCGAGGCCCCUGUCAGUUCUGCGGAGGAAGACCGUUCAAAGAUCUUCUCAUCAUGUGCCUCGUUUCCACUCUGGCUCUACCAAACCCACCUCCCAUGCAGCAGCUGGAACAAUCGUCUCACAAUCUAAGUAGAAUUGCAUCACUGCCCCACUCAUAGCAGAGUGAGACCUAUCUAUCUGCCCGUUGGAACGGGCCCCAGCCCCUGGCUAUGUCGCCUGCCUUGACUUGCCUUCCUACCUCUCUCCAGCCCCAGCUGCUCCGCCUCCCUGGCUGCUUUUGGGAACCUCAGACACUCCAGCCCUGGGCUCGGUCUUCCGGGCUGGCCCUUCCCUUGUAGAGGUCUCCACUGAAUGGUCACCUGCUCAGAGAGGCUUUCCCUGGUCCUCAGGCAUGUGCUCGUCCUAUUUAUUUCAUGCCGUUCCUAGCUUUCGUCUCGGUCUGAGCUGUCGUUGACUUGCGUGUUGAUGUGUUUCCUACCCGUCUCUUCCUCCCAGGACACACGUUGCAAGAGCCCUCUUAGGACAUGCCGAUGUGCUCGGUACCUGAACAGGGGAACAGGUUCGCCGCCUGGAAGCACAAACACACUCUGAAUUAUCGGGAUUGAGUGGCAGAGAAAUACAGCACGUUGGGGUUGCCAGGGUUUCAGGACUCAUCUGAUCCCAUGUAAUCUUCCUGAGGUGGGCAUCCAGACUCUGCCUGACCUCUUACAGGCCUUGAGAGCUACUUAUCACACAGUGGACCCAGGGGGACCGAACACUGCCAACCAGGUGACAUUAUGUCAUUUUCACGAGCUCCCUUAAAACUCCCACUCUGCCUGACCACUUAGCAUAACAUUGAUCAAGCCUGUACUUGGGAGAUCGCGGAGGGGAGAGACAGACACGCAAAGAAAAUAAUCUAGGUCCGGGCCCCAAGUGUGAGGACUUUGGUAGAACGUUCCUUAGAAGGUCUCCAUUCUACCUAAGCCCCUUCCUAGCCGUCUCCAUGUUGCUGAGACACCUGUGCAGAUUAAAAGGAUUGAUGUGGGACAAUAGCCAUCAUAGAGCCUGGCACACACUAAGUGUCCAAUAAAUGUUUGCCUCGGGUCUCUCACAGAGCAGGUGACUAUGGGGGAGGAGGGCACGGGCCUACCUGGCU